rnacentral:rRNA from 1 species
AUUGAACGCUGGCGGCAGGCCUAACACAUGCAAGUCGAGCGGUAACAGGAAGCAGCUUGCUGCUUCGCUGACGAGUGGCGGACGGGUGAGUAAUGUCUGGGAAACUGCCUGAUGGAGGGGGAUAACUACUGGAAACGGUAGCUAAUACCGCAUAACGUCGCAAGACCAAAGAGGGGGACCUUAGGGCCUCUUGCCAUCGGAUGUGCCCAGAUGGGAUUAGCUAGUAGGUGGGGUAGCGGCUCACCUAGGCGACGAUCCCUAGCUGGUCUGAGAGGAUGACCAGCCACACUGGAACUGAGACACGGUCCAGACUCCUACGGGAGGCAGCAGUGGGGAAUAUUGCACAAUGGGCGCAAGCCUGAUGCAGCCAUGCCGCGUGUAUGAAGAAGGCCUUCGGGUUGUAAAGUACUUUCAGCGGGGAGGAAGGGAGUAAAGUUAAUACCUUUGCUCAUUGACGUUACCCGCAGAAGAAGCACCGGCUAACUCCGUG